GCCAGCCUGAGGGAGCCCAGGCAUGGAGUGGUGGCACCACCUGGCCUGCUCAGUGGCUGAGACAUGGGUGGGCAGCAGUAGAAGUGAGUGGACUGGAUCACCCAAGACUGGACCCCAAGGACAACCGAGUGCCACUGAGUUCCAUCUUCAGGAAGGAGAAACAUCACUGUACUUGAUAGGAGGAAGGACCAGGGAGGGAGGUGAUGUCUGGAGACAUUGGGAGACCAAGAUGAGUGACAGAAGAUUGCCAUAGACCAAGGAUGAACUGGAGUCAUUGAGGCAAAGGAAAUGGAGACACAGAGACGGGAGAGAGGAAAGGGCAUCCCAGGGAGGAGGCUCAGUGUGUGCGACAGCAUGGAUGGAGGCAAGAGCCAUGAGCUGAGGGGUUUUGCUCCUACCAUGAUGCUGCUUCACAAACACAGGCCUAAAAGCAAUGCGGC